GGAGGGGUAGCUCAAGUGGUAGAGCACAUGCUUAGCAUGCAUAAGGUCCUGGGUUCAAUCCCCAGUACCUCCC
rnacentral:tRNA from 1 species